CUAGGCCUAAAUACGAACCUAGGCAAAACGUUGCCUGUGUAACUGAUGCCGUAUCAACCAGGGUUUCAACAUAUCUUGAAACAAUAAACGUGUUUAAUUCCUUCCAGAAACGAUCGAAAUUUACGCCUUUCCUAAAUUAAUUAAGUAGGUGGUGGUGCGUAGGCGUUGGCGGUGAUCGAUUGUGGAUUUCGGAAAAAUUUAUUUUCCGCCCUACUUGAAAUCGACGGCAAUGGAUUAUAUGAUGAAGCUGUAGUAAAGCUCUCCAGUGGGGCUGAUCUGUGAAGUAUGCACUGAAGCUGGAACCUUAGCCUUUUGUCAGGAGAAAGAUUAUGUUAUUGAGAAAGAUGGCCUGAAAACUGUUUCUUUUUCUUUUUAUUAUGUUUUGUCCAAGGAAAGGAGAAAGGUGCAGAAUGUCAUCCAUGACUUCAGCAAUGUGGUAUUAUGACAAGAUAUAAAUAGUAACAUGAAAGAUUCUGCCCUAAAGGGUUUACAUACUUCAAGUGAAAAACUCUCUAAGCAUUUGCAUGUAAAUUUUUAACACCUGUAAGUACUGUCAGGUUUUCCCUUCGUACUCAGUUGAACGUGUAUAGAGGUCUUUGCAUAUAGUAUGCUUGAACAUUAAAUGUUCUAAUUUGU